rnacentral:rRNA from 1 species
GUUAUAGGGUCAAGCGAACAAGUGCAUGUGGUGGAUGCCUUGGCGAUCACAGGCGAUGAAGGACGCGGUAGCCUGCGAAAAGCUACGGGGAGCUGGCAAACAAGCUUUGAUCCGUAGAUGUCCGAAUGGGGAAACCCACUCCUUUUGGAGUAUCCAUGGCUGAAUACAUAGGCCAUGCGAAGCGAACGCGGUGAACUGAAACAUCUAAGUAACCGCAGGAAAAGAAAUCAACCGAGAUUCCCAAAGU